CUGCCUCCCCCUGGCGGGCAGCGGCAGCCGGCGGAGCUCGGCCGGGAGGGGGCGCCCGACCCCCGGCCCGAAGGCGGGAGCGCGCGGUGCGCAGGCCGGGGUCGGCGCCGGCGCGCGCCCGCUCGGACCGCUCACUAACUGAGCACCUAGUACGCGCCCGCGCGGGGCCGGGAGCCGGCCGGGCCAGGCGGCGGGGAGCACGCCUGCCUUCAGGGAGCUUCCAUGGGAGGCGGGGAGCGGGGAGACAGCUGCUGUGAAGAAGCACGAGCGGCCGGACACGGACAAGUUAGGGAGAGCCUCCCCGAGGAUGCGAUGACUGCGCGCCAGGAGCCAGAAAGCACAUGAGGGAGAAUGCCACUACAUCAAGGGGCCAGAGCAUUCCAAAGACAAAAACCCGGCCCCUGGCGUCUUCUGGAAGGGGAAGAAGCCGCGCAGCGGGAGGACGGGAACCCGGGAGGGGAGGCCAGGGAAGCAAGGAGAGGCAGGCUGGGCAGAUGAUGGAAGAGCCGGGCAAAGCGUCUGGUUUUCAUUCUAAGAUCAACUGGAAGCUGGAAGGCAGAGAGAGGACGAACCGAUCCCCCCCGCUGCCGAGGGAGGGUGCCAGAGGAAGCGGGGCCCUCGGUUGGGAGGCCACGGCAGCGGUGCGGGCAGGGUGAGGGUGCUUUGGGCCAGGUCACAGAGCGGGGCUGGACGUCGGCUCCCAUCGCUCCCCCACCUUCCGCCGGGCGCCCUGGUGUCGUGACCGACCGACCACCGCCGAGCAGAGGCCGGCGAGCCCGGGCGGCACGACAAAGGCUCCGCCAACACCCCGCACCGGCGGGGAGGAAGCCCGGGCAGGCAGAGCGCAGGCGGACGUGGAGCCCGGGGCGGGGGGUGCGGAGUAGCCUCCAGACCCCUCUCCGCUAAUCUCAGGGCGCGGAGCCGCCGUCCGCGGCCCACGCCUAGCUGGAGAGCCUACUCGGAGAGCCUCUCGGGGGGUAGAGCGGGGAACCGCUCCGAACCGGAAUGAUCUGGUUUAGAGCGGCUGCCUUCCCCUCCUCCCUCCCUCUCCCCCAGCCGCCCGCCCUCCCCUUCAGCGACUGGCUGGUUUUUGCCGCAGUCCCUGACCAAGGUAAACAGAAGAGGGAAGUGGGAAGAAUGCUUCGUUUCCAUGGCAACCCAGAGGGCAGUCGGUGCGGCGCUCUUGGAUGUGCUUCAGGGGAAGAAAAGGCUCACUGGAAAAGCAACGGGGAGACCGGCCCCUUCCACAGACGCACGAGUGAGCUGGAGAUGCCCACCCUCCCCCCUCCAGGGGACAGGUGCUUUCCAUUUGUCGCCACGUCACUCCAGCUGCUGACCACAACUCCUGCACGCUGAGGGCAUCAGAAACCUCUUCUGGUUUCCAGGCUUCAUAAGAGAUUCGUCAGAAACUGGCUCCACCUCAGGCAUGGGCCUUCCUGGCUUGGGGCGGGGGGCGGGGGCGGGGUUGGGGUGGGGGGGUUCACUGUUCGGUUCUCACCUUUGUAGGCAGAAAUGGGAGAAAACCUGGGACAGAAGGAGGUGGGAGGCAGUAAGCUUCCUGCCCCCCGCAAAGCAGAAAGAACGUGGAUGCUUUGUGGGAAGCUGGAGGGAGGUGCCUCAGUUUCCCCGGGCAGAUGCAUCGAGAACCCUGGCAGCGGGACUACAGGCCUGGGAAGUGCUCACCUACACGUCGUGCAGUCCACACCCUUCUCCUUGAGUGGGCCCUUAGACGCUGUGGUCUGCCUGGAAGACGCCUUCAGGACAGGACCCAGGGCUGGGAGGGAACACCUGCAGAGAACAGGAUCGACAGACUUGCUUUUCCCUUGCAAAACACCCCAAAGUGCCAGGUUUACUCAGCUCUUUCCAUGGCUCACGGAUUCCAAAUUUCUGUGACCUUAACUCCUGCCGCUGCCCCUUUGCUCGUUCUAUUCCAGCUCCCCUUUGCUGUUCCUUGACCAGUCAGGUUUCCAUGCCAGGUCCAUGGCACUGGCUGUGCCCUGGAAAGCUCUUUCUCCAGCAUCCACAUGGCCAAUCUCUCGCCUUCAGUUCUUUAUUCAAAUGUCAUCUCAACGAGGCAGGGCCAGGGUGAGG